GAUGAAGAACGCAGCGAAAUGCGAUAAGUAAUGUGAAUUGCAGAAUUCAGUGAAUCAUCGAAUCUUUGAACGCACAUUGCGCCCGCCAGUAUUCUGGCGGGCAUGCCUGUUCGAGCGUCAUUUCAACCAUCAAGCCCCCGGCUUGUGUUGGGGACCUGCGGCUGCCGCAGGCCCUGAAAACCAGUGGCGGGCUCGCUAGUCACUCCGAGCGUAGUAAUACAUCUCGCUCAGGGCGUGCUGCGGGUUCCGGCCGUUAAAAGCCUUAUUUACCCAAGGUUGACCUCGUAUCAGGUAGGAAGACCCGCUGAACUUAAGCAUAUCAAUAAGCGGAGGA
rnacentral:misc_RNA from 1 species